UAAACUAAAACUAUUACAUUCAUUUUCUUUCAUUCAUAAUAUCUUUUUACAUCAUAAUCAUUCUCCCAAAAUACAUGAAUGUUUACAACUUUUACAUCUCUAGAUCAACAAAAGAAAGUUGAUACAUGAACCAAAAAGGGAAUGACUCUAUGCAAGUACUCCGGUGGCCACUAGCUAUGGCGCAAUACCCUUGCCUCGAUCCUCCGCCGCCCCGCUCGCGCUCGGAUCUGUAGGGUUAGUGGUGUGAGAACUAUAACGAAGUUCCCAGUGGGUUCAGCAACCGACCUCGCCGAUUU
rnacentral:lncRNA from 1 species